ensembl:lncRNA
AUGCGUGGUAGUGAACAAAAAGGAAUGUGCACUGAAUGUGGCUUCAGGGGCUGCAUUCAUCUUUGUAGAUUGUAUGAACUAGACAGGUGUAGUUCUCUCAUGGUAUUUGUUGAUUGAAGAGGCGCUGAUAGUCAUCAGAGGUGAGAAGACUGUUAGUAACAAAAGAUUUUGGUUUUUUUUCUUCUCUUUCUGCUUAAUACCCUCUGUAACCCAUUGUUGCUUCUAUCUUUCUGAAGUUUGCCUUCUUUCCUGGUCUCGUUCCCAUGAUUCUUCUGGAAGUCUUUUUCAUCACUGCAUACAGGGCUUCUCUGGCUACAUGCCUGCCCUGUCAUGUUCAGCAGAUGUCUUACCUCAGUGCAGGUGUGGCUUUGUAAAGGCCAAGUUUUGGACCUUGAAUAUAACCCAUUCUGUCUUUCCUUCCUAUUAACUAAUUAAGUGCUUUUUGCUCCACUGCCUGCUAGGUAGCUGAUGUGUUUCUGACCGGCAUAAAGUAAGUUGGUCCUUGGAUGAAGAAGUGUGUCUCAUUUAAACUGGACCACGUCCAGGAUCUCUAAUGAUAAUCACUGUUGUACUGACAUGAAAGAUGGGGGAGUUGGUGACGCUGCUGUGAAGCAGCCAUCAGGAUGUUGUUCUGUAGUGUCAGAAAGGCAAGUCACCUUGUUCAUCAAAUGAACAAGAAGGGAAUAAGACAGGAAAGAGAGUGGUUAGGAAGCCAUGAAGAAGUACUUAUCAGCCAGUUUGCUUGUUGGGCUUUGUGCUCAUUCCAGCUGUGCUUUUGCCAUCCCUCUGCUCCUUCCAGGAGUGGAUGCUCUUGCUCAUCCUAUUUUAAGCACCUGCUUGUGCACGAAACCCUGCUGUCUGCACGCAGUGUGGUUUGGACAGUUGCAGGUGCUUGUCUGAGUGGGUGAUGCUGUGCUCUAUAGAGAGCAUAUUUUCUGUUUUGUCUGACAUCAAGAAAUACAGCUUUUCUGCAGUCAUCUCCUAAAAGGAAUCCACUUUUCUCAUCAGAAAUCUAUGCAAAAUGUGUGCUUGCCCUCUGACUGCAUGAUACCUGCUGUGACCGUGGCUGAGGAGGAAGGGCAGCUGCCUCAGGUGCUUCGUUAAUUCUGCUUUUGUGCACAGCUUUGUUCCGUGGUCCCGAUCUACCCAUCGUGACUUGCAGGGAUCCAAUGCUGUUUUAUGUCUGCAUAUUCUACUGGAUGAAAUGGAUAUGACAUGAAAUGAAUAUGAGAGAAGGAAUACCUGAAGAAAGGAGCUAGCAAAGAAUGGAGCACCAGGAUUUCUUAGCUGUGUGAAGUUUGACUGUGAACUCGUGCUGUACUUUCUGUGAGCAGUAACUCCUGAAUGUGAACGCAUAAGAAGUGCCUGCAGAGCACUGCAGCCCUGCUUCAAUGAUGGGAUGGAGAACCUGUGAUCUGGAGGAGCUCAGGUACGAGGAGCAGCGUGUUACCAGGAGCACAGUUCAGAAAUGUGUGAUCUGAAAGCACGGAUGAGGCUACUGUCCCUUUGUUUUUGAGCACAAACCCUCUGUUGAGAGUGAAAACAACUUUGUCUUUUCCUGCAUAUUGUAGUCACCUGAAUUAAAUGCACUCCAGGUGAACAUAUCUGACAUUUUUUUCUGUUUUUUUUGUCUGACAAGAGCUGAUUGCAGAAUUCCUGAGACAGUGGGGAAAAAAGAUUUAUAGAACUGUAGAAAAACUGUUUCUCCUUGUCACAGGUCCUCUCCUUAAAGUAGUUCAACUUAAAUUGUGUUUCUAAGAAACAGCAAGAAAUUGGAUUUAUCUGAAUGAGAGUUAAAACAGACAUGGCAGUAUUUGUACUGGGUUGCAUUUUUUGCUUCUCUGUUUUUUUUCCCUACUCCCAGACAUGCCUUUUCCUUUCCAGUGUAUCCAUAUCUGGAGGUUCUGACUAGACGGAGACUUGUGAGGGUUAAAAUCUCGAGGAACAGCUGGGAGAUGCUUAGCAAGCUGAAGUGACUUAGAGUUAAGGGUCUUCUGAGUCUACUAAGAAGCCCCACCCUGUCUUGGUCUGCCUUCUCAGUGACACUGGUAUCACAUUACAGUUCAGGGACUAAAGGGUAGGAACCUGGGUAUUUCCUGUGUUCAGCCCUAUUAACAUAGAAACAACAUUCUGGAAUAUCGUGUGGCAAACCUGCAAGGUUCUGGUGGGACAGUAUUGCCAUGCUAAUCCCCUGCUUGGGGUUACAGGAAAGAAGUACUUUUUUCUCCAUGCUUACAUCUAUGCAGCCCCUGAAAAUAGUCAGCAGAAUUUGGGUGCUUCCAUUAUCAACUAAUUGAAUUCGUUUGGCUCAAUCAAGCAUUCAGCUAUUCUGCAGCCAGUGGUGUCAGAUGGGACAUGUAUUUGGCUGAGUUUCACAAAAAUUGUUGGCUCCACAUUGGUUGUACAAUGGGGAACACAAAACCACUUCAGGAUUCAGCUUUCACAGCUUCUCAGCAUGUUAUCUGAACUGUUGUCUGUAUGCAGUGCUGCAAUUGCUGCUAGGGUUUAAGCACAUCUCCUGGUCUUGAUCUCCUCUUUGUCACCUUCUCACCUUUUCAGCAAGUCUGGAGGAAGCUGAGCGCAGCAACCUUUUGUGUUUUCCGCUCUAAAUGUCAUUCAUCUUCAAGAUUUUCCUGUCAGCCACGUUAAAUAGCAUUCCACCAUGCUCACUCACUUGCUAUACAUUCCAGAUUUGCAUCCUGAAUGUGGAAAUUAUUUAUGAAUUUCUCGAAUACUUUAUCUUAUGUUAGAUUAAUUGUAGAUUAUGUCUCCUUCUGCUGUCUUUGUGUUCUCAGGCUCAGCUUUCAAAGAUCUGAAUGGCUAUGUGAUAAAGUGAUGAGAGGCAAUAAAACUAUAGGGCAAAACCACAUAAUUAGAGGAAGGAAGACACUAUGGACUGCAAUGCAGCCUUUGAAACUUCCUCGUCAUCUACUGCUACUGGUUAUAACUUUUGCACAUGGAAGCAUACAGAGGUAGAGUUUGGGGGCCUUAUCCAGAGUACUGUGUUUACUGCCAGUUGCACUGCACUGAUAUCAUUUGUUUGUACUUUGAACCUUACCAGGACCUCCCCAGAAAUUCUCUUGUAGAUGUGGAGUCAUAGGCCUCAAAGUAAAGCUGUACCUCUGAGCUUCUGUGAGGCUGAAGUCAAGGAAUUAUCCUGUAAAUCCAGAGUGAGUCACACCUGGAUAACCCAUUGUGUGAUACAGAUCCCUGCUGGGUUGCAGUUUGCAGCCACAGGGAAGUAUUGACACUUACUCAGCUUAAAGACCAAAUAUAAAUUAAAUCAAAACAGAAGUCCCAGCAGCUUUGGGAGGAAGACUUGGCCUUUAGACUCCUUUUGCUCAUCUCUAAAGGUAAGUUUUCCUCUCAGAUGACCUAAUGGCAGUUUCUUCUGAAGAUGCUGUUUAGCUCUCCAUGUUAAUCCAUGCGUUGAAACAAAUGCUGCUGCUGGUGUGUGGAGCAGCUUCUCUCUUGCAGGCACUCUAUGCUGGCAGGGCUGCAGCUGUCUGACACCAAACUUGUACAUGGCUAGAGAUCAGCUUUCUAAGAACCCGGAGGGCCCUCCUUUCUGCUGGCUUCCCCCCAUAUCUCCAUGCUGCGUGAGACUGCUGUGAGCUUUUAUACAGGCAGUAUAUUUACAGUAGCACUGGAUGUGAAGUGCAAAAUGCUCUUUAAAGUCUGCUUAAAAUCUCUCCCCUGUCAGUUCCCAAAUUUAAUAAUGAUGGAGUUUGGGAAAGGUGUACGAAGUGCUAUCUGGUGUGUAUGUGCAAGAGAUGAAGUGCAUGUGUAGUUAUAAAGCACUCUUCAGAAUCUGGUCUGCAGUCUAUUAACAUGCUGAACAUGCCUUUUUUAUGGUGGUGAUUUACAGUCCAGCACAACUAUGUGAAAUCGCUUCAUUAUAUUUGAAUAAUGAAAAGAGUGCCAUCAAAAAGGCAUGUCUCCAGGGAUCUCUCUGAGGCAACACUUUAAACAAAUGACUUUUUAGAUAAAUUUAUUAUGAAGUGUGAUGAAAGCCAUUUUUCUUAGCAGUCACAUCUUGUGAAAUCAAUGAGCUUUGUUGUGCUGUAGUUUUUUUUUAAUCUCUUACAUAAGUAAAGACUAUGUCUGUAUAAAUGGUGGUUGAUGUUCUGCAAUCACCAUGGAAAGGGAAUGUAAUGUUUUAGUGUUUAAAUUCUGGUUUGUUAUGGCUGCUAAAUAUUUGUGGACUGAACUUAACAGCCUAGUCUUGGAGUUGGAAAUAUCAGUUGCCCUAAAAAUUGUUUUUACAGGCAGCUAUGAAUGUUCAUCCAGAUUUGUUAAGCUAAAAUGUGUUUUUAUAAAAUUACAGCAUUUGCCUAAGACCUCUUCUGCCAAAGGAGUACCCAGCUUUCCUGGUGGCAGUCUGUUAAACUGUGCUACAAGAAGUUGGCCAAACCACUCAGAAAUAACUAUCGUUGGGGCUUUCAUAGUAUUAUAAAAACACUUCUUAUUGCUUUGUCAUGUGAGCAUCCUUGAACGUCUCAUUAAAAAUCUAACAUUUGAUUAUUAAUGAGACAGUUUUUUUUUCUAAAAUCCGCACUGACUUUCAAAGACGCAAUGAAAACACGUAUUGUGUCAUCAGGACAAUGAUAUUUUGAAUGAAGAUAAAUUAUGUUCUUUCUUCUGGAACUUCAUUGAAGUUGAACCUGAUGAAGUUCAACAAGAACAAGUGUAGAGUCCUGCACCUGGGGAAUAAUAACUGCAUGCAUCAGUGCAGUCAGGGGCUGAGCUGCUGCAGAGGAGCUGUGCAGAGAAGGACCUGGGGGUCCUGGUGGGCAGCAGGCUGGCCAUGAGCCAGCGGUGUGCCUUGGUGGCCAAGAAAGCCAAUGGUAAUUAAAAGCAUUGCAAAGAGCAUAGCUGGCAUGUUGAGGGAGGUGAUCCUCCCCUCUGUUGUGCCCUGGUGAGGCCACAGCUGGAGUGCUGUGUCCAGUACUGGGCUCCCAAGUUUAAAAACAAACAAACAAAACAAAAAAACAACACAGGGAUCUCCUAGAGAGAGUCCAAUGGAGGGCCAAAAAGGUGAUUAAGGGCUUGGAGCAUCUUCUGUAUGAGGAAAGACUGAGAGAGCUGGGGCUGUUCAGUCUGGAGAAAAGAAGGCUGAGAGGGGAUCUCAUCACUGUUUAUGAAUAUCUCAAGUGCAAGAGUCAAGUCAAUGUGGGCAGACUCUUUUCAAUGGCAAGCAACAAUAGAACAAGGGGCAGUGGCCAGAAACUGAAAUAUGGGAAGUUCCAUACUAAUGCAGAGAAGAACUUCUUUACUGUCAGAAUGACAGAGCACUGGCACAGGCUGCCUGGAGAGGUUGUGGAGUCUCCUUCUAUGAAGAUAUUCAAGACCCAUCUGGACACCGACUUGUGUGACCAAUUGUAGGGAACUGCUUUAGCAGGGGGUUCGACCCAGUGAUAUCUUGAGGUUCCUUCCAACCCCUGCGAUUCUGUGAUUCUGAUUGUGUGGCUCUGUGAUUUAAGGCUGUGUAUUUUCCCUCUUCUUUUUUUUACAGUUAUUUGAAAAUGUUUUUGUCCUGAAGUCACCCCUCUUUGACUCUCCUUAAAUGGAGUACCAAUCUGAGGUUGGACAUGCUUUAAUAGAGGCUGCUUCUUUCUUCUUCUUCUUUUUUUUUUUUUUUAAGAGGUGGAAAUCAUGGAAUAAUAGAAUGGCUUGGGUUGGAAGGGACCUUAAAGCCCAUGCAGUUCCAACCCCUGCCCUGGGCUGGCUGCCCCCCACGAGGUUAGGCUGCCCAGAGCCCCUCCAGCCUGGUCUUGCACAUCUCCAGGGAUGGGUACCCAUAGUUUCUCUGGGCAGCCUUGGCUUUCCUGCUCCCAUCCAUGCACAUCCAGACAGCAUCUCUCUAUUCUUUGCAGGCCACUCAAUCCUGCUUCCACUGCCUGCACAUCUUCUUUCCCUCACUCUGACCAGCAGGGACUUGCCCAGCCAUGCCAGUUUCCUGCCUCCUCUACUUGAUUUCUUAUUCUGGAGGUUGGAGAGCUCUUGUACUCUCAGAAAGGUGUCCUUAAAGAGCUGCCAUCUCUGCUCUGUUCCUUUGUCCCUAAGAACAACUUCCCAGGGGAUCUCACCCAACAACUCCCUAAGCAGCCUGAAGUUUGUUCUCUUGAAGUUCAGGGUCCUGACUGCUCUUUGCCAGGUGCAUAUUCCUUGAGAUCACAAAUGAGACUAGGGCAUGGUAGCUGUAGCCCAACCUGCCUCUAAUCUUAAUCUCUUUAUCUGUCUCCUCUGAAUCUAUGAGCUCCCUGGUCCAGUAACCCUUCUCCUCUGUCAGUUAGACUAAUACCUGGGCCAGGAAGUUACUGUCAAUGGGCUCUGGGAGUCUCCUGGGCUGCUUGCAGCUCACUGUGUUGCUUUCCCACAAGAUGUCUGGAUGAUUGAAAUCCCCAUCAGGAUUAGAGUCUGUGACACUUCUUGCAGCUGCAGCAAGAAUGUCUCACCCACAGGCUUUCUUUGGUCAGACAGCCUGUAGUGGACCCCAACCACCAGAUGUCCUUUAUUGGUCCAGUCCCUAAUUUUGACCCACAGGCUCUCAGUCUGAUUGUGGGUGAUUCUCAGAGGCAGCUCUUCACAGUCUAUCUAUUUCUUAACAUAGAGGGCAACUCCAGCACAGGAACAGGUUGCCCAAGGAGGCUGUGGAUGCCCCAUCCCUGGAGGCAUUCAAGGCCAGGCUGGAUAUGGCUCUGGGCAGUCUAGUCUGGUGGUUGGUGACCCUGCACAUAGCAGGGGGUUGGAACUCGAUGAUCAUUGUGGUCCUUUUCAACCCAGGCCAUCCUAUGAUUCUAUGAUUUCAUGAUUCUAAAAAUCUCUUAGCCCUCAAUCAUAGUGUUCCAGUUGUGUGACUUGUCCCACCGUGUUUCUAUGAUAGCAAUUAGGUCAUGGCUUUUUAAUAAUGACCUCAUAGGAAAAAAAUCACUCUCUUUGUCUUGAGCUGAAAAAUAUAGGCGUGUCCAUCUGUUAAGUAAGUUUUUGUGCUCAAAUGUAGAUACGGUUCUCUGAAAUGCCUUAACAACUAUUAUGAUAGUGAAAGCAUCUUGAAUGCAACUCGAGAGACCUGGAUUCUUUUCCUGAAAUAACCACUGAUUCUCAAGUCACUUAAUUUCCAUAUCUUGAAAACAGAGUAGUGUGUUUGCUGUCUUUCAUAAAGAGCAUUCAAAUCUACAUAUGCAAAGUGAUAUGUAAACAUUUGUAAUAAUAUAGUGGGUGAUAUUCUCCAGGGAUAUAAAAAGGGGUGACCAGAAGAUGCUGGGAGAAUGAACUGACUUCUGCAGCUGUAGCUGAGCUCUUUGUCUUACUGGUGGUAACUUGCAACUCAGAAUUUGGUGGUGGGGAGACAGAGUGCACAGUCAAUCAGAGUGCAGUCAAUUAGAGCAUGGUCAAUUAGAGCACGGUCUGAUUGACUGAACCUUAAGGAAACAUACUCUGUUUGUGUUUGCAUUAACUUAAAGGAUUCUCAAUCAUGAGGUAUGUGUAAACAUAGUGGGGUUUCUAUUUUCAAACUCCAAUUUUUCCUUUUCUGUUGCCUUCCAACUGCCACCUGAAAGGAAUCCCCAGUGGGAUUGCUUCUAAAAGUCCAAGCAUAUCUACAGCAGAAGAAGAACAUUUUGUCUUUACAUACUCACGCUGCAGAAAGGAAACAUUAUGUGGCACCUCAGCAUCAGACAUUUGCUAAGACACGCAGUGGUGGCCCUGUUUAAUUCCUCCUAGUGGACAAACUGCUCCAGCAGUCACCAGUCUAUGAGCUGACUCCUGGCUCCCUGAGGCAGUUAGUGCAGCACUGAGAUGCUGCUUUUAUUUCUGAGCCGUUUGGUGAGUGCAUUUUAAUCAGAGAUGUGGAAGAAGUGUUGGGGAGGAGGUGCAGCCUUCUCCUUCUCAGGUAAUUAAUCAUCUGAUUUUUGGUGUCUCAGUAAUUACUGUUGGCAAAAAAAAAAAAGUCAUUUGAAUGGUGGCAAUAUACUGCAAGCAAACAUAACUUGGAAUGACUUUGUUUCAGCCACUUGUCUGUUCUUCAUGAGCAUUUUUACAGUCAGCUGAGGACUUGUAACCAAGCCUUUGGCCACAACUGUCAGCUCCAGAUUGCCUCUAGCAGGCAAGGGUGUGAUUGCAAGAUGCUACCAUUGCUUCUGGCCGCUGGCCUUAUUGUGCUGAGUAUGCACGAAGGGACGUGCACAGCCCUGACUGCUGUUGGAUCUGAUUUCCACUGAAUUCUGCUGACCCUUAAACUGCUGCUGUGAUGGACUGAAGUAGCCUGAAGUGAACCUUUUCUCCCCAGCCAAAGCAAAAUGUUUAUCAGCAGCUCCUCUAAAGCCACUGCUGUUGCCCAAGUCUCUCCUUCUGCUGUUUGCUGCCUGCAGGAAGGCACGGGGAGAUAGCGAGCAGCCUGGGUGAACCUGCUCUGCUCCGACAGCCACUUUAGUUACCUGCCCCGAACCUCUGCUGCCAGCAGAGGCAGCUGUUGGUUCUGAGGCCAUCUGGAGGCACAAGGCAGGAUUUGAGGGAACUGCCUUUCUCUGGAGCCUCUUGUAGCACUCGUAGGCUUUGUUUAGUUAUUUAUCCAUCCUUCCAAUGCCCGUGCCAGUUUAGAACUUCCCAACGCUUUAACUACCAGAGUGUUCCUGAAUAGGUCAGAGUCAUUAUCCAUUCCUAUGAGGCAUACUGAACAGAAGAUUUGUUUUAAAAACAGAUGAAACAAUCAGCUUCUGAGCUAAUGUGGGGGUUUCUUGUUUACAUGGGCUUCAGCUCAGGCUGGACAAGGAGCUGGAAGAGUUUCUGCUGUGGGUACUCCUGUAUGUUCUUGCAGAGAUUCUUCGAACGCCGGUGGUUCUGUUAGCAUCCCUACGAGUGAAGCUGUGGUUGAGCAGAACCAAUUUAAAGUUGUUACAUUUGUCUGAGCUAAUCUUAUUUAUUUCAGGGCUUUUGCUCAGCUCUGCCCUUCUUGUUCCCGAGCACCUCUGCAUGAGUCGCCGCGGGCACAGCUGUGUGCCUGGGGACUCAGUUCUAUGGGAGCUCCCAGCUCAGGUUUGGGUACUGAGUGUUCCCCAGUCAGUAGGAGGAAAAAACUCAGAAAUCCUCAGAGUGACUGCUGCCAUUACUUUGCAGAGAGCCUGUGAGAGCUCAUUUAUAAGGUAUCUGACAGCAGUCAGCACCAGAUCGUUCAUAAUGUCUUUGGAGUGUUUGAGGCCAGAUAAAUCCGACUGAUUUUCUGCCUUUGUGAAUAGCUGUGAGCAUAAAUUAAUCUCUAAUUUGAGGGGAAUGCUGCGUGUUAGAUGGAAAUGCAGGACAGAGCUGGAGGGGGCAACCUGGGCCUUUUUAUUCUAUCUAAACAUUAAAAUGUUCCAUCUGUACUUCUACUGCGAUCUGCAGUGGAAGUCAAAGGAAGGAUUUUGUCUCUUUUCUUUUAUAUUUAGUAUUUCUCUCAACGCUUCAGAAUGUUCUCUCUGUUUUUUUGGACAAGGGGUGCAUGUUUUUUCCCCACUUCUUAUUCAUUUAUGAAUUUAAAGGUCAACGUUGGGAUUUUUCGUACUCAAAAGUGUAUUUUCUGUUUAUUAUACAUAUUUUAGGUGAGUGGUAUUUUAUUUACUUUAUUGUUUGUUGUAGAUGUUCAGCUAUAUCUGUGCUAAGAAAUAGGUCCAUUACUCGACGCAGGUGACUAGCUCUGGGUGCCCCCACCUGGUUGGAGCUGCCUAUUUCAUUGCAGUGUUGCUAAAUCCUCUAAAUCCUUUCUGUAUGGUUUUCAUUCUGAAAAAGAUUAACCACAAAACAGCAAUGCAGGCAGUUCAGAUUCCUGCAGAGCACUGCUUAUGCAUUUGGUGUGUAUUUCAACUGGAGUAUGUCAGCAGCUGACAACAGGAAAGAAUCGUAGAAUGGCCUGGGUUGAAAAGGACCACAAUGACCGUCAGUUCCAACCCCCUGCUAUGUACAGGGUCGCCAACCAGCAGACCAGGCUGCCCAGAGCCACAUCCAGCCUGGCCUUGAAUGCCUCCAGGGAUGGGGCAUCCACAGCCUCCUUGGGCAACCUGUUCCAGUGCUUGGACUGAAGGUACCGAGCUCUUCAGAACUGACUGACCCUGGCAGUUCUGAUUUGAGGUGUAAGGCACAGAUCUGAGCCAUACGUGUUCUUUGCCACUAGGGUGGUGAUGCAGACAAGUUAAUGUUUGGAAGGCAUACAGCUAUGCUGGGCUAAUGUUUGAGCCUACAGUAAAGUGCCUACCACAAACCCAUCCUUCUUGAUAUAAAAAUGUCAAAUAUUCUUUUACUACUGUUAAAGGACAUAAAGGAAAAGUUGCAGAAAGAAAUUCCCUUCUGAGAUUUUCAGUUGUAAAAACUGUUGUUCUCAUACAAACUUCAAAGCAAAGCUAGAAGAACACAUGAAGAGGCUGUUAGUGCAGCUGUGGUUUCUAAAAUAUGUGGCUCAUGCAAGUCCUGAAAGGUACAACUGAUCCUUUACCAGCAUGAAAGCUGGAGAGCAGCAGAGCCCCAACAAGCGCAGGAGGCUGUUUGGAUGUCACACAGUUCAGUGGUCUCACAGUCCCAAUGUCAGACACACAGAGCCAGGCCCAGGCUGAGGUUGUCCCAGAAGAUCAUUGCUGUAGAUUACUGAAGUACAAAGGCUUGUAAACAACUACAGUGUCCACACGUGGGGCUGAAAAUGAGCUGUUAAGAGCUGAAAAUAUCAAUGUCUGAAAUUGGAAUUACUGACUCCUACUGGUUAGAGUUCCACCUCUCCCACUUAGAGAAUUGUUGGAUGCUCGUAAUGUAGCUUUUCACACUUUUUACUCUGUCCCUUAAAUUAUGUCUGUUUGAAUGUGAUUUCUUGAAGCCUUCAUUAUUUGUAAGUGAUUAUGUUAGGCUUUGAUAUAUUUUAGGUAUGAGAGUGUUUGAAUUAUCUGCUUUUCUCCUUUUAGCUGUCAUUUCAGGUAAAUAACAAUUCUGCAAGUUUGUGGUUUUGACUUCUCACCUCAGCGGUUUGGAUCAGUGAUUGAGGACGUGGACCCAGGAAUUUGAAGAUGAGCUUCACUUUUAAUGUCUUCAUUUGGACACCAAGCAAAUCCCUAACUAAUUGAGGCUGAAAUGCCUUAGGAUGAUAUUUGCUGUUCUUUAUUUAAAUUCAGAGGGUUUAUCACCACACAGACAUUUCAGUUGCUUAUUCUAGGAAACUCAUGGAAACGUGCUUUGUUAAAUAAUGUAUUUUCUAUUUUUUUUUCCCUUCCUUGUGUUACAAAAUGAAUGUAAAAGCUUUAAAACCCAGCAUUCACCACUCUGCAGUAGAUCUAAUAGAGUGGCAUUAUAUGAAGAGAUGCCAUGGUAACUGAAGUUGCCAAGACAGUCAGUGUCAAGCUUUUUAAUGGUGACUGCUAUACUAUAUUUGGCUUUGAUUACCACAAUCUGAAUAGCAAAUGGAAAGUGUUCACCGGUCUCAUUUGCUACCACCUACAGUCCAGAAGUAACGAGAUGACAGAAUUCAGUGUUGCACUGACUGCCAACCACUGGCCAUCAGGAUUGUUCUUUGCAGCACUCCCCUCUCCCACUGGAUCUCAUGGCAUCCUUAUCACAGCCUUACCAUUUGUGCUAUCCAGUUGGUGAUAUGCCACUUGUCUUAAUGAAAUUUGGCACCUGAAGCCAGUAGAGGAGUCUGCACUUUGUGAGCUGGCAAAAAAUCAGCAAAGUCAUUUCCACAGGAAACUGUUCUUUAAAUCUGUAAGUGGUGCGAAAGCAGAAUAAAGCAGAAACGUACACUGUUUUUUUCUCAUAAAUGGGUUAAGUGUACCUUACCUCCCUUGCUGUAAAGCUUUGUAGAUCCUGUUAUCAUCAGUUUUCACAAAAAUGAUACUUUCUUCUGUCUCCAUAAUUUUGGUUUAUUUUUUAAAUGCCAGAAUAGAAAGCGAGGUCCCAUCGCCAAGGUGCCAUUUUAUCAUUUUGCUCACUCUAAUACAAAUGAUUUACCUAUACACUGAAGUAUUACCGUAAGUUAUAAUGAAGCUCCUUGCUAAAACGUGCAGCAGCAGUUCCAAAACAUUACUCAUUACUUUUAAAUCCAGAACUAAACUUUCUGCCAGUAGUAAUAGCCUCAUGCUGUUAAAAAGGACUGUUUUUAACAUGCUGUUAAAGGACUGCUUUACUUAAAAGGAAGCAGUCACAGAGCAGACUAUGAAAUGCUUCUUGAAUGAGAUGAACAGUCCUGGCCAUAACAGUUGUAGACUAUUGGGAAACUCAAUAGGCAGCUAACAGGAACAACUUGGGUAGGAAGAGCUUGAGGGUGAGUGCAGCUCAGCUCAGAACAGCCUUCUGUCAUUCUCUCUUGCAGUUAGGCAGACAUAAACAAAGAAGCAUGAUGGGAAGAAACUGAUAUCUUGGAGGGAAGGGAAAGACUAAAUAAAGAGUAGGGAAAAAGCUUUAACAAUGUGAUUCUUUAGAUAGAAAGCUAGUCUCAAAAGACCUAUCACUUGACACAUGAAAAAUUGAUUGGAGAAAGCAGUAGCAAAUAGUUUUCCAGGAAGAAUGUUGUAUUGGCAGGAGGAUGGAUAAGAUGAUCACAGUUCAUUUACUUAAGUUUUAUCCAACAGCAUUAUGAAGUAGGAGAAUAUAUGGGUGAUUUCAUGUGGUUUUGGAUCGUGUGGAUUUUGAACAAACCAGUCAGGAGGUAGCAGCAUUGCUUUGGAGAUCAGCAAAUGAAGAAAAACAGCUUCAGUUGAAAGGGAACAGAUUUGACAGGAAAAAUUCAUAUUUGUUAAAGAUUGGUUUAGAAUACUGACAUCAAAUCUCACUGUCAGUGGAUAUUUUCUUCAACGGCUGUAUCUCUACUGCUAAAAUGCAACACAACAAAUUCAGAUUCAUUCCUAAGAUCAAUUUGUUCAAGUCAACAAAAUUUUUGUCACACCACUGUUAAACCUGAGAUGCCUCAAAUAAAGAGUAUAACUUGGCUUGAAAACAGCACGAAGGAUGAAUGUAAUCCAUGCCAUCGAGAAAAUAGCCAAUGUUAAACUAGAUGAGUUUGACACCAAUUCAAAAGGCAUCUUCUUGUGUCCUACAUUCUAGUAAUUUUGUUGACUAAAUUAUGUGUUUAAAUUUAUACGGCAAACUCAGGCCAGCAUUUGGGUUCCUGUGAUUAUUCAUUUGUAAGGCUGUGAAUGCUUAUUAAUGGCUCCUGGCUUUAGAAUGAGCGUUUAUGCUUCCAAAGCACUGCACAUGACUAAUUUGUUCUUCUGCUUAUUCGAAAGCAGCAGGGGUUGUCAAGAAGCCAAAUCUACACUGAAUUAAAACCACGUUGCUUUGCUUCCAUAGAAGAGGUAAUACUUGGCUGUUGUAAAAAAGUCACACUUCAAUUGAGCAUCAGUUCAUCACUGAAACUACAAAGUGGAGCAGUCGCAGAGGUAAGGUGAUGGUAAAUGCAAUGUGACGUUUCUCCUGGGCCAUACUGCAGAGAAACCUUACCUUUGUGUGGUGCAGCUGAUGUUGUGUACUUCCCAGAAAAAACAAAAGAGCUGUAAGGUUGCAGCAGAACGCCAUGUCAAGGGAACCCAGAGUCUAAUUAAUCUCAGAGAAGUAUAAAGCCAUAACGAGUACCCACUUCAUUUUGUUUGAGUUGGUUUCUGUCCAGGUUAAUGUGAAACAGAGUGACCUGGUUGUAUGUAUGGGCCUGAAUGCGUUCCCAUGUUCUGCUAUAUAUCCCCACUACUAAGAUUCAGUCUAACCUCCAGCGUUUGGCAACCCUUUAUGGUCUUCUGCCAGUUCUUCAGUCUUCAGAGGAGGUUUGAAGCUUCUCGAUAACGAUUUCACAUAGCAGUUGUGGAUCCUAAUGGUAAAUAUUUUUGGUUGGCGUUCCCUGAGGCUGCCAGUUAGCAGCUAACAGUGACACUCGACUGGUUUCUGUGCAGUGGAACUGUGCAGUUAGAUUAAAUCUCACUGAGUUAUUGCAAGGAGUUACACUGUGGCUAAAUGUUUGUACCACUGCAACCUGUAGUUUUCAAUAUAAUUCUCUGCAGCCUGGCAAGUGCAUUAAUGGUUUUACAUAGUGCGAGGAACAAAAGGUUGCUUAGAUGCAGCGCAGCUGCUGAAGGUGGUUAUAAAAAGGCCCAUUUAACAUUCAUAGAUUCAGGGAAAGAAAACAGGAUAACCCUGCUGCUGGUUGUAGGGGUGAGUGUGAGCAGCUGCUUCAUGCGAUGCACAGCUGUGCCAGCGAUGUGCUGCAGAAGCGAUGAAUUAAGCUGUAAAGUGCAAGUCUCUGUGUACAACGUCCCGUUUUUGGAUAGCCCUGGAAAGUAAUGUAGAAGCUGUACAUGAGUGCCUCAAGUCUCUUUGCUUGCCUGUGCAGCAAUUAAUUUCAUACCUAUGCUAUGAAACCCCUGGAACAUCCCGUGUAGUGCGCAAACCAAGCGCUGUGCACAAACCUCCCAGCUAGACCAGAGGAAUUUAUAUCCCCUUCACUGACACACACAGACUGCUGGGUUGGUGAAAUGCUCUGAUGUGUUGGAUAAUAUGUGCAGGUCGUUGAACUUCAGUAGUACUGGAACAUGUGGAACAAACACUCUUGAAAUGAAGAAACUCCCAGCUUUGGGGCUGUGGCUGCAACCCUCCAAGGUGCUAGAUGUGUGAAAUGUGUUCUUCAGCACUGUACCUGAACAAAAAUCCUUCUGUCACUCCCUAGAAUUGCUAAAAAUGCUAGUUGUGUUUUAUAGAUAAAUGAUUGAUUGUGAGUUGUUGGCAUCAGCAACACUGCAGGCAUCACCGCCAUGCAGAGCUUUGUCUGAUUCCUGCCUGGCCAGCAAUGGUAAAUAGGUGCAGGGCUGGAGGAGCUCCAGGUGUCACUGUUAGGACAGCACCUGGGUAACUGGAGGGGCUUGUUUGUCACUGCUGAGGGAUUUCUGUGACCAAGACUCAACAGCUGCAUGCAGGGCAGCUCUGGCUGAAUCACACAGCUUCAGGUGUGGGAAGCAGCACUGCUUUAUGGAGGCUGCCUUUUUACUUUGGAGGUUUCUUAGCUGUUACAUAGUUGGUCACUGAUAACUUUGGCACAUUUUUGGUGGAGUAAUCUUGCCAGCAGCUUGAUACGUAGCUACAGAAAACAAAACAAAAGCAUCCUCGCUUUCCUCAUUCUUUCCCCUCAAAUGAAGUAAUUUGAAAAGUGCAGAGCUCUGUUAAAAAGCAGAAUCAUCUGGGAAAGGAGAUUUGUCCUGACAGAGAUGGCAGGGGUUUGCUAAGCAGCAAGGCUGUGUGACUCCAUCCUCGUGGAACUGCUCCAGCACUGACCAGACGCACUCCUUCCAGGUCAGGACAGUGGGAGCUUGAGCCUUACUCUGUCCAAACAGCUUUGGACCAGACUUUGCUGCUGUCUCCUGCUCUGUGGUCCCGUUAUCUAUGGCAGCCUGGUUGGAAUGGUGUUGCUCAGACCUCUUGGGCAAGUCACUGCAAGCCCUGGUUGCUGGGAGAUCCUGUCUGCUUAUCGCAACUCCAGCCAGUGCUAUGACUUGCAAGAUGCAGCAUGCUGAGGGCCCUCACUAGCACCUUGUCUCUCUAACUUUGCUAUGGGCUUGUCAUGGGCAGGCUCACUGUCACCCCUUUCCCCCUUCAAACCUGGUUUAAAGCCCCCUCAAUGAACUCAGACAUCUCCUGGGCUAGAAUUCUUUUCCCCUUAGACUCGGGUGGACUCCAUCCAAGCCAGGCUCCAAGUAAACCACCCCGUAGUCAGAAAAGCCAAAAUUCCUGCAGUGGCAUCAGGCUGUCAGCCAUGUAUUUAUCAAACAGACGUUUCUGGUCCUCUCAGUAUCCCUCCCUGCAACUGAAGGGAUUGAGAACAUCAUCUGUACUCCCGCUCCAUCCACUGCCCUUUGGUAUUUGUAAUGUUUGUCACAGUUGUUGGUUCUUGGAAGAAUGCAGUGUGUGCUGCUAAAUGGGGAUGGAAAAUGCAACAGCCGCAUCCAUGUAUAUUGAAAUGCAUUGUGUAGCACUACAGAAGUGUUUUCAUAAAGCUGACAUUCAGAAAAACAUUCAGAAAUACAUAUACUAUAGCAAUACUAGACAACAUCUGUUAAUAUUUUAUGCUUUUUUAAACUCACAGCCCUUGGAGAAGGAGAGAUUUGACAGUGAAAUAUUCAACUGAUUUCAGCAGCAGUGGGUCAGAUCCACAAAUCAGGCCACUGAUGUAAUUUGUCCCUAGAGCUUUAGCUGUCUAUGGAUGCUGGUAAGGUACUGGUGCCUGUUGUUGCCUGCCUUUGGCAGCAAGAGCACUCCCCGUUUGUAAGGAAGUAAUCUAAUUUUAUUCAUCUUCUUACUUCAUCUUAGACUUUAUUGCCAUCUGUCUUCAUGAGGUAGAUAGAUUGUUUGAGUGUAGCCUUGUGUACUGUCGUUGUCUUUUGUUUCCCUUACAGAGAGCUUGUGUAGAUGCUCACUGCUGUUACUGAAGUGGACUGGAGUUUUAAACCUGUUGCCUGUCCUCUUCAUCUCGUCGUAACACAACCUGUUCUCUUGGCAUGACAAAGUAGAAGCUUCCUCUGCCCAGCCUAGUGACAUGUCACCUGGUCACCAACCUUUCAUCUCCUCUUAUAAUAUCCAUGCUGAGUAGUCCUUACAGAUUGACUCUGUGAUAGACAGUCUGUGUGAUGUCUGAUUGGCAUAGAUGGACAGAGGUUGCUCCAAAAGUAAUGCCUCCUAUUUAUUUCCAUGGAAACCAACAGAUACAAAGAGCACAAUAUUAUUGUUUGAUAGAGCAUAUUCUCAGCUACAAAACACUGUUUUUCAACACAGAUACCACCAUUAACAAGCAUUUGCAAGCUGUAUUCAUAAAAAUCUGCCUGACCUAUAGGAACGUGGCUUGUCUUUCACAUUGCUGUCACCACUGCUGAAACACACCACGCACCACCUCAGUGUGUUCACAUCCUCUGUUCGGUCUCCAUUGAUGGAAUGUCAAUGGGUGCCAUUUUUUCUGCAUGGAGGAAUUUAGUCCCACCCCUCUACUCCAUUCAUACUUCCAUGUCAGAUGCCAUUCUUUCCGAUUGCCCCCCUACUGCCAUCUGUCAUAAACCAAAAAAAUAUAAUGAAAUAUUGAUGGGAAGGUUCAACUUCUACUGCCAUCCCAGCACCAUCCACCUCUGAUGUUGUGGGCCAACAUCAUAAAAUAGGAGGCAUUACUUUCAGAGCAGCCCUCAUAACCGAGAAUGUUUGAAUUAAGUGUGCAGCUGUCUUGAUAGCCUGACAGUAACUUCAGCAAAGGGUGGCAGUGCCUAGGCAGAAUGUGUCUGAAAGCAGGAUUCCCAGUCUGGGAGGUGGAAUUACUUCUCUCUUCGUAUCUUGAUUAUUUAUUUUUGCUGUAUCAACUCUAAUGCUGGGCUUUUGUGUUCACAUCAGCACUUGGUGGAACCAUAUUGGUGGCCCUUUUGAUGGAGGUGAGAGUUUGUCAUUGGUGUAAGGAGAUUUCAUUGUUGUAUCAGUUCUGUAGUUCUUUGACACUCCUAUGUAAAUAUGGUAAAUCCAAACCAAUCCAUGUAUUUGCAUCUCUCUGAGGAUCUGCUUUGAAAUCUGCAUUUCAACAGCCUUUGUAACCGUACCUCAACACAAUGCAGAUAAGAAAGUGCUUUCUGCCAUCCCUGUUAAAAUGCAAGACAGCUUUUCCAGCUGGACAUAACUGCGUACCUUCACUGGUCUCCCCACAAUUGGGAUUUUUCUUCCUUUCCAAGAGUGAGCAGUGCCAUCAUGCCACCAAGCAUGGCAGCAGCUGACACAGGGAUUAAACUGCUUCUUCCUUGCUCUCUGCCUGGAAGAUAAUUCUUGAAGGAAGUACAGUAGGAUUUAGGAAAAAUUUCUUCUCCAAGAGAGUGGUCAGACACUGGAAUGGGCUGCCCAGGGAGGUGGUGGAGUCACCGUCCCUGGAGGUGUUCAAGAAACGUGUAGAUGUUGUACUGAGGGCCAUGGUUUGGUGGGGAAGUACUGGUGGUAGGUGGACGGUUGGACUGGAUGGUCGUGGAGGUCUCUUCCAGCCUUGGUGGUUGUAUGAUUUUCAGCACAUGUACAUAUUUAAGGCAUUUUUUAAAGUGUGUUUCUAAACUUCAUAUUUAGAAACCUGCUUAUUCAAGCUUAUGCUUUGCUAAGUUCUAGGAAAUGAAAUUAACUUGAAGAGCAACUUACUGUAAUUUACUGUGAACAAGUUGUAUCUGUAACAGAAGCUUGCUGGCACAUGCUGCUUUAGGUUGGACAAGGGAUAUGAGUGUGUGUAUCUUUCUGCUAUGUGGUAAGACUCCACGUGAGGAUGGAGGUCCUGGGGCCUUAGAGGAAGACUGAUGUCUUGCCUGAGGAGGAAAUUCAAGGUGUGCGGUCAUGGUUGAUGUAAAAGCCAUUCUGCUCACCCUGCCCUUUGGGCAGUCUGCCCUUCCCAUCCUGCAUAGGUCAAUCCUUUAGGUCCAUCUCAUACGCUGUGGACCUUGCGUUAAAGGGGAGAAUGCACUGCUGGAGGUGUGCCAGUUUCUGAUUCCAAAUGUUGGUGCAUCUUCUCAGCUUCUUUCAUGCUUUCUCUGGCGAUUGCUUCCGUGAAUACAAAAUCUGACAAAUAAUUGCAUUUUGAAGGGCAUGCUUAAUGGAGGUCCAUAAAAAUGAUUUACAGACAACUGCAAACUGAACUAUUACACUAAAGGAUAAAAAGCUUCCUUAAUGAGCUGUACAAGACAGUUAUUGAUGUAUUUAUGAAAACAUUCCCCAGUACAUGCAACCAGGGGAAUUCAAAGAUAAAUAUUUAAAGAUUGUCUGACAGUUUUUGAAUGUAGCAAAACUCGAGUUCCUCUGGUUCCUCUGUAGGGCAGUAAAUGUCUUGAAACAAAAGUAUGUGUGAUUUGUAACAGAAGAGAACAAAACCUGUCUUAAAACUAGAUGUCUUUCUAUGUGACAAUGCUUUGUUCAACCUAAGAGAUAAAGCAAGGAGAAAAUAGGCAUGGGAAGCUUAAGAUAUUAAUAAGGUAAGCCAACAUUUUUUUUUUCUAUCUAGGUAAUUUAUUAGAAUGGUGUCAAAGAAAUGUACUUAAGAUGAUGAAAUGUAACAACAGUUUCGCGUUUGAUUGAGUUUCCUUUCAUCCCAUCAUUGCUGUACACAGUCAGGUUAUUCAAGUGUGAUCUUUAAGUGUUCACAUUGUGAUUUAUAAUCUUGAUCUUCGCACCCCAGGGAGAGAAAAAUUGGUCUGUUGUUAUGAAUCUGAUUAAUAUAUAGAACAAUGUGUGCCCUUUUGGUAUUUAUUACACACAUGUGCUUUUAGUUUGGAUUAUCUCAUUGUUACUUGCACUUUGCAGGCAUACUGCAUUACUCUCUGAGUAACAAACUGUAGGAGCAUUCUAAGUAUUGGGGCUGACACUUGGUGUGGCAUCACCUUGUCAUUGGUGCACUUUAUAUCCUUGACUGGCUUAAUAAUUGAUAAUUUUUAAAUAAUAUGGUUUUCUUUAGGACCACAGCUGCUGUGUCACGUAACUCCUCCUGCCAUACAGAACGAAGACCUGGCUCAUGCUAUUAAAUAAGCUCUAGAGUCUUUUUUAGACUUCUUCCACCACAUUGUUUCUUGGGCUACAGACUGAGACUGGGCUAUGGAGCCUCUUCCUUUGAAGGUUGGUAGAAGGAGUGAAUGAGGGACAGGGGCUGUGCUAGCCAGCCUGUGAAAGGUGCUGGCAGCCGCCCUGAGUGUUGCUCAUGGGUAGAAGAGCUGCAUUAGCAGCCAGUGCUGAAGGUUAAUAGAAGAGUUUUAGUCUUGGGGGAUCUCUUCUUCAGCACCAAGAAGGGUUGUGAUGAAGCUGAAUUUCCCCCUGGGUGACGAUGCUGGUCCCAUUUUCACUUACAAGAACAUGGAAUAUAUUCAUCAACAUUCAUUAACUUCAUGGAUCUCAAGGAAGCACACAUAACCUCCACUAAGACUUCUGAGUUGUAAGUGUAGUAUGGGGUAGUAUUUAAGCUUUUCUAGCUUUCUGCUGGGAUAUAAGGGUUUGGGUUUCUUUCUUUGUUUUCCUUGAUGUCAUUUGAUUGCUUCAAAUUUUACUUUUUUGGCUUAUUUUUCCUGUUUCAUUUCCCCUGUAAGGACGCAGCAGUUCACAUGCACCAAAGUCUCUGUAAUAGUGUCCUUACAAUGAAAGGGGAUUUGUGUACUAAGGAUUGUAUCAGUGAAAAACUAGUGUUGGGUUUUUGCUAUGUGGGAAUGUAAGGCAAGGAGAGCAGAAAAGGAAUAGCCAAUACUUUGAUAGUUAAGGAAGCACAAGGGUACACAUACAAGUCCUGAGCCUUGGAAAGGUUCUCAGUCCAGCUCUGUAUAUCUGACUCAGUAUGGAACAGCCUGUGUUAAUUUAACUUAAAUCUCUCCUGCACCAAAUUGUAGGUGGGAAGUCUGUUGAUCAAAGCCAGACUUUUAAAGCAGGUUUCCUGUAGUAGUGUGUAAAAUCAGUCUUUGUACAAGAGUAGUUCUGUCACCUGCCUUGCAAGCAAAUUACAUUAUGCAAUUUAGAGCCCAAGUAUGGCUUAACUUCAGUGGAUAAAUCUCAUGCCUGUUGUGAAAGCAUUCAUGUCCUUGGGGCCUGUAUUUGAUUUCUCAAUAUGUAGGAACAAUAGAAAUUUGAAGAUUUUGAUUGAAAUGCAACCCAUGGAUUAUGCACAUAACCAUUUGCAGCCUUUACUUAUGCGCCUGUUGUGAAGACGCAUCCACACUAAGGAACUGCAGCUCAGCCUCUUUGCUUGGCUGCAGUGCCUUUUGGUGUAAGCUAGUGGAGAUGUUUUGCCUCUAUCAGAAGAACUGAAGCACUGUUCUUCCAGGGAGGCUGGCAGCAACAAAGAAAGAAGGAUGCCCUGAAUGGCUGUUGGAGGCUGUCAGACUGUUAUAUCUCUUGUAUUUACUGCUUUACUUGUUGCCUUUGGAAGAUUAUUGCUGUCAGUGCUUGAAGGACCCUGCUCCACAGUCACCUAGAUGAUCUCACCUUCUAUUCUGUAUUGUUUUCAGAAAAUACAAUGGUUAGCAUGUUAAUGGUUAACAUACAGUUUUAGCAGCUUCAGUUGCAUUAUAACUCAAAAAUUCUGUCAAGAAGAACUUAGAUUGAGCUUCAGAUUCUGACAGUGUCCUGAAGACAACCUUACUGGCUUCUCCCAGGUGACUUGCGUUUCCAUUCUGCAGGCUGGAGCAAUGUGAUGCUGAGGUGAUCCAGAAUUCCUGACUCUGUGCAGAUCAGCCCUGUCCCUGAGCAACCACCAGGCAGGUACGGUUUAGAUGAGGGUACAGAAGCAUGGAAACCCCUCAGCUUUAUGGGUGCCUCAGUCACCUAGAGCAGAUUGUCUGUGAGAUGAGAGUGCACAGAGACCACAGUUGGAUAUUGUACACCUCUGGAGUAGUUACCUUGGCAACUAUCAUACUGUGUGCGGUUUGGUUGCGAGGAACUGGCACAGCAGAGAAGUGUGACAUGUGAGACAUAAUCCUCUGUGGAUUUCCGAAGAUGGCAAGCAGGUGAUGGCGUGAGCAUUUCUGCUGUUGGCAGCGUAAUGGCCACGAGCUCAUUGCUGUAGCAGCCCUACUCUCACAAUUUAAAUUCCUCAUGUUAACAAAAAUGAAGAGCUGUGCAGUGGUACAUGUUAUCAGCACUUUUUCUGGAGGAGUUCCUUGAGAAUGAAGGUGAAUAAAACCAUCCUGCUUACCUCACCACCUCCCACUCGUUUUGCCUAAAACGCCUCAUUGAAAUUUCUUAGCAGAGCAGGGCUGUGCAGCUCCUGGAGGAUCCUCUUAGAUCUUGGUUGGUGGGAGGUGGAUUUGCCUGGGCUGCUGACUUCUUUUUCUUCAAAGACCUCGGUAAGCUGUGUGAGUUCCCAGGGCACCCAUCCCAUCCCCCUCCCAGCCCAGGGGAGCCCACAUGGCUCAGAAUAAUGAAGGCCCUUACUGAGGGUGUCAGGGUUCACGAUUCCUCUCCUCUAGUUCUUGUGAUGAUUCUAUAAGGCGCCAGUAGGGCUUGUUAACAGAGCUGAUCAAUGAGACUUGUGUGCAAGGAUCGCUAAGAUCAAUUCUGCAAUGAAUCAAAGAGUCCUUCCAGUAUUGACUUUCUUUUUAAACAGCAAAAACUGGAAGAAAAAAAAAUAUAAGAGUAUUCACCACUAUUGGUGUGUGUGGCUGAGCCGUCCCUGAAGGGCAGCAGUCUGCAUGCAGCUGUGCCAGGGGUUCCAGGUGGCACAGACCUCAGAGACCCCCGAGUGAGGAAGCAGAGAUGGGGUUGCUCAUGGUGCUGUAUUUUGGCCCAUGCUCAGUGCGUCACUGUUGUUUGAAUCUUAAAAAGAUUGCCCCCUCCUCGUUCCAUUUUAGUUUCCUGGUCGUAGCUUUUGUCUUUCCAUAGCAAAUGUGGUUCCUCAAGCAUUGCAGAGUACAGGCGCUUUUACUUGACUUUGAAAUAUUUUAAGCCUGAUUCUCUUUCACUUAGCUUUCACUUCUAGAAAUGAAAAAUAUCAGAAUAGAUGGAGUUGCUCAUUUUCUGUGUACUUCAGUGGGAACUCUGUCAGGUCAAGUCUAGCACAGACAAGAGGCCCCUCACCGCUGGGUAGGAAGAGACAGCUUGGUAGUCUGCAUUCCAAGUCAAGGUGCAUUUCCAGGAGAGGUGGGAAGGGGGGUGGCAAAGCAAGUUUCACAGAACUCUCUUAGUUCUCCUUGGUGGAGUAAUCCCUGUUAAAAAGCUGACUGAUCAGUGACCAUAAGGAGAUAUACCACUGUCUUGUACAGGCUUACUGUACUUGGAAGUGCAAUCAGUGUUUUAAUGACUGUUCCCUGCUGCAGUAUAUUUAACUGCAUCGAUUGAUACCUUAAAACUGUGGCUGUUCAUUAGGCUUUAAAAAUUUUCCUUCUUUAUGUGUUGUAUGUGGGAGUGUAAGCCAUCGGCUCAUGUAAAAUGUAAAGCUUUCUUUUGGGAUACCCACUCAUUUAAAAAUAUAUAUAUAUAUAUGAAAAAAAGAUCAGGUGGGUUCAUUCAUCAAGGUGUGAAUGCUUAAGACCAUUUUACUAACGUGAAACCAAAAUCUGGUGAUUUUAGGGGAAUCACAGAAUCACCAAGGUUGGAAAAGACCUCCAAGAUCUUCCAGUCCAACCAUCCACCUGCCACCAAUAUUCCCCACUGAGCCAUAUCCCUCAGUACAACACCUAAACAUUUCUUGAACACCUGCAGGGUCGGUGACUCCACCACGUCCCUGCGCAGCCCAUUCCAAUGCCUGACUACUCUCCUGGAGAAGUGUUUCCUAAUGUCCAACCUGCAUUGGAGUUAACAUUCUGUUGUGUUUUAGUGAGUAGAGCACAGUGUAGGGUGGGUUUCUUGUACAAGUGCAUCUAUUCAUUCAGCAGCAAUACAAACCCAUGUCAGUAUGGUUUUCAGCACACCCAUGGGUGUGGAUGGGGUUGCUGGUGCUCUCAGGUCUGCUGCUUCCUGCUGUAACGAGCAGCCUGAAAGCUGCAGCUUGCUGUGUGUGUUCACACAGCCUGUCAGUCUGCUGCUGCCAUUUGAUUUAGGAUGAUGAAAGCAGCAGCAAAAUCCAGCUACAAGUGAAGUGAGUUGUGUUGGAUGGAUUUGUAACUCCUGGUGACCUGAGGAAGGAGAGACGAUGCCGCUGGAUGUCACCUGGCAGUGGGCAGACACCUCAGCCCUGGCUGUAAGUACGGGAGAGUUUUGCAGCUGCAGUCUUCCUUUUCAGCUUUGUUCUCACAGCUCUGGGCCUUCUGGUCGGAUCCAUGCAGGGCUGCCGUGCCGUGUUUCAGUCAGUGCCCUCCCACAGGCUGGGAGCUCUGUACAAUUUGCCCUUUUGAAACAUGAUCCUUUGUUCCUACUGAACUCGGGGCCGCUAUCCCAGGAACCUCGUUCCAUUUUCCAGCUGUCUGAAAUUGGGCUUUCUGCUGCAGAGGAUUUUCUUGCCAUAUCAGAGAUUCCCUCUCCCUCCAGGCUUUUUAUUGCUAAAACAGUAGGCUAUGAAUGCUGCAUCAUGGUGCAUACAGGUGUGUGUAUCAGUGUUUGUGCCAGCAGACUGCAGGCAUUAUCUUAUGCUGUGCAUUUGUGAAAGUGCUGUGAAUGUUCUGUGGGUUAUAACACUCAAUUGCACGGUGCAUCUUCCCAAAUUCCCACAAAGAACAGCAGAACUGACAGCAAGAGAUGCACUAACAAAAUCACACGGAGCUCUUGCCAAGCAGAGGGCAGUUUUGUUCCUAGGCACUGAAGGACGACGAUGACCAACAACAUGCUUGCUCCUAUAUUAAUAGGUUUUAUUUCACCAUAAAUCUUACCGCACACCCUGCAGCUUGUUGUGCCUUUGCCACACUAAACUGUCCUGCAGGACGUUGCUCACAUCUUGCUCACGUGCUGUCCUUUCUGAUCAACCUGCCAGGCGAUGGAGCAGGAUAGGGACGUCAGGGCAGAACUGACCAGGAGGUACGGACUGCUUCAGCCAGGAGGAACAACACUGACUCCUGUGUUUUAUCUGGCUGCUGGCUGUGGGAAUCCUGCCAACCAGCUGGUGAAAAGGGUAUAAAAUCUGACUUUGUGUAAUAUUACAUGUUUCUAUGAUCCUUGCUUUUAGCAAAUAGUUCAUUCCUAACCACUGUUGGGAAGCAGGCAGACUGACAGUGCUGUGAGUGCACGUGGGCUCUGCUCUACAGACACAGCCCAUGUUUCCAGGGUGGUACUCCAUCUCCCUUCCAUGCUUUGGUACUUAGAAAGGAUUAACUUUGCCCUCAGUGCCUUUACACAAACAGCACUAAAAUAUUUGAAGGAAUGUGAUUUUCUCUGGGGCUGGAUGGAAUUAAAGCAUUGUACUUGUCGUGAUUUAAGGUUGUUUCUGAUGAUGGAGGCUGGCUGAGGUUUCUCACUUCUGCUGUCCUCUCUUGCAUGCCUUGUUUCCUACAGUCUGUGUAACAAGCUUUCCCAGGGGAAAUCUCCCAGCAACAGCAUACGCUGAUGAUGCUGUGACGCCUGGCUGUCGGAGUUGUUGCACACAAAUAGGACUGACAAGUGAAACAGAAAAUGUGAGACUAUCUGAUGUUCCAGGGAGGAUGGCUGAAGCACGGCCACUGCAGGAACGCGGCUCAGUUAAACUUGCUUCUCCCAAAGCAAAGAUCAUUAGGUUAAAAAACAACUGGUCUUUUGACAGGCCUGCUUUCCAAAUGAGACGGCACCAACACCAGCUUUCAGUUUUAAGAAGCUGCCAUUAUUUAUCCCUUUAAAUCACUGAUUUUAUUAGUUCUGCUGGCAGCUUUCUUAGCUGAAUCUGCAUUUUGUGUAAUUUGUUGUAGUUCACUUGUGCGGGCAGGUUACUAUUUUCUUUGUGCUUGUAACUGUGAUUACAGUGUUCAGACUUUCCAACCCUAGCACUGUACCCAGGGUAGGCAGUGUCACCUGUUGAGGUUGCCCAAGAGCUCCCACUAUAAAUCCUAAUUUCUAAUACAUCCAUGUAUCUCUACAGCAGUCCCUGUGCAGACUUGUUGCUGGCUCACGCCUGCCAGUACUUCACAGAGAUGCAGGUGAGUGUCUCAAUUAAGCAGGUGAGCUGGAAGGUGCUUUCCCCAUCAUCGCUUGCAGACUGUCUCCCUGUCAUCUCCUUCUGUCUGACAUACCUGAUUGUUUUUGCUGGGCCGCAGUGUGCAGAAAUGACUGUGGCAAUAAUUCUUCUGCUCUCCUUAAACCUUUCAGAUGCCAUUGGUGGACUUUUCACUGCUGGACAGAAGGCAUUUGAGUGAUUACUUGUUGUGAAGUACCUUCUGCAGAGACUGCCUGCAGUUUUGGAAGGCAGCUGGAUAGCAUCAUGCAUUAGUAAUCUAAUGACCUUUACCCCUCGGCACCAUUUCCUCACAUCUUGAACAGCUUGGCAAUACUAGGAAAGCAUCCCAUGGUUCAGUACAGUUGUGUAAUAGAAGUUCUUCUCAUUACAUUUCACUCAUUGACUGAUUUUAUCUCAAGAGUAAGCACAGCAGCUAGAAAUCACAGGAAGCCUUGGAAGAGAGUUGGAUUAAUACCUGAAGGCAGUUUCCUCUGGAAGUGAGCUUUCCUUCGAGGCAUGGAGCAGCACUGCUGCUGUGGCUGCUGCACUGGGGCUGCAGGAAGUACCUCUGUGCAGACAAAACUCAUUCUGGGAACAUGCAAAGAACACAGAGUUUGGACCCAAUUACUCACUCUGCCAUCUUUUUUUAUCCUCAAGGAUGGGGGGGAAUCCUUUAUCAGUGCAUAGUAAUCGUCUUGAUGUCCAAUGAAAAGAGCAAUGACAAACAUUUCCUUGCCAGACAAUGAGUACUGCAGGCAGACAGCUGGGUUACUUUCCACCUUUGCACGAGCACAUCUGCUCAACGAGCACGGCGUGCAUUCGGAGAUACCCGAGCACGCAGGGCUGACAUUUGCUUUUCAGAAGCGCCCCCCUGACAGGCACUUGAAUGCUCAGACACCCAUGUGAAAGGUACACAGGACAUCAGUGGGACGAGCUGCGUAACUCACACCACUGACACGUCUCUUUUCACUUGCAGUAUUUAUAGCUGGCAGUGAUUUCCCAUUGCGCACUUUUGCUUUAGGAAGGACUUCUAAAAUAUCAAGAGUUUGUUCCAUACAGACCUUUUCCUUUGGGUACAUGAAGGAGGCUGAUGUCAACGGCAGCUCUCGGACGUGGCCCUGAAUGCACAGCAGUACGAGCCAUUCUGCUUGUGCAUGUGGUCAGCUUUUGCUUCAGUCUUCUUGUGCUUCUGCUUGUGCUUCAGUCAGCAUGACUUUCAGAGCUCUUCAUUUUAUUUUAUGGCUAAUUUCACGAAUUCAUUAGGGGCAUUGUAGUGGCAGUGCUCAGUCACAGCCUGAAACAGUGAUGGAGCACCUGGUGGGAAGGCAGGGCCAACCCAGGGGAGUUCAGGUGCACGUAGUGCUGCUGAGUGACUAGAAGGGAUGGAGUCAGGAUCCACCCCUUCCCAGCCCUCAUUUAAGGGUUGGCAGUGGAGCUGAGGGUAUCUUUUGCUGGAGAUUCCUGCUUACCUGCAGCCUUCUAAGAGUAAGCAGUUCUUUUCCUUAAUUUUUGCAUCUGUGGCUGUUGCAUUUGGGCUCAUUCUCAUUUGGAGUAGCUAAAGACUUUGACGCCCUGCUAUUAUCCUAUUAUAGCGUUGCAGGCAUUAAUAAUAGUUAAGGAGAUUUAAAUCCCUUAUGACUGUAACACUGGGCAGGCUGCAGGGGUGUGCAGAUGUCAUCUCCAUGUUCUUCUGGAGGAAUUUUGGAUGCUCAGUAGCAGUGAUGCCAGUGUUGGGGCAUGCACCCAGAGCACCCCUGUCUGGAGGAAAUGUAGUUCCCCACAUCUUGCAACGCACAGAGCUGUGAGAACACCAGAAUGCCUGAGCACUCAUCUGCUGCCCAGCUCUUGGCUGCUGCUAGAUGCAGCUCGUGACUUUGAAACCAGUUGUUUGCAAAAGAGCUCUGUGCCAUGCCCUGCAGGGCGAGCAGGGCCUCGUGCUGCAGCUGCUGACUAAUGCAUGACACCUCUGCUGUGAGGCAGUUGUGUUCACUCACCGAGGUCAGGGUGACUCAAAGCAGCACAUGUUCCAUGUCGAUGCCCAGAGGCAGCUGCUGUUUUACAUCAUGACAAUGUCAAUUAUCACCUACAACACUCCUGUAAGGAGUAAAAUGGCAUUGACAAAAGAUGCAAUUAUUUGGCUGUUUGCUUUCUCAGUCCUCUGCUAAUGUCAGUGUCUGGCUGUCUCUCUGAUGAUGCCUUUAAACCACAUGUGUGACAGCUACACUGCGUUGAAAAAACACAGCUUUCCCCACCUGUGUGUGCAUGAGGAGAUGUGCUGUUGCAGAGAUGCCCUGAUCUUUCUGAGCACCACUGUAAUGCUGCUGGAGAAGCUCAAGGGGGGAUUGUGUCCUUUCCAGUGGAGGCUGGAGGUGCAAUAUUGAUCUCAGCCCCCAUCUCUCGGAUAGCUGGAGUGUCAAGCACUGGGUAGAAUUGCUGUAAGUGUGCUGGCUCUUGCUGUGCUCCUGGCCGUUCCUCUGCUUCAUGUCUAUGUGCUUGGGCCUUUGGAGCUGGCUGCUGCACCAGCCCAGCUCUCGGAGGUGUCCCCCAGCAGCUGCUGCCUGGGGUUGCUUGGGCUGCUCGCAGGAGCUGAGGGCACAGCCCAGCCCGCUGUGCUGGCAGAGGCUGAUGGUCUGCCCAGAGCAAGUUUUUCUCCUCCACCACAGUCAUCUGACCUGUCCUUAGAAGGGCAUCUGCUUUUGGGGGGCAAGGCCAACAAAAAACAACAGCAACAAAAAGCUUUUGUGAUUCGUCUCUUAUUUAGAGCAUGUGCUAAUGAUGAAUUUGGGUGCAUCCCAUCUUGUCUCUAGGAACAGCUGGAAUAACUUCUGUGUUUUUGCACUGGAAACAACAAUGUUGCCGAAUCAUAGCUGUUCUUUGUGAAUCUCUCCAUUUCUUUAAGUUGUCAAUUUAUGGAAAAGUGGAAGAAUCUGGUAGUGAAACUGAAACUUCUUGUUUGAUCAUUUUGGUACCAGCAGAUGUGGGGAAUUCAUUCCAGGACAAGUUUAUUGCCUACGUUCAUGUUCUGACAUUGCCAAAAUGAGCAGAAAUAAAAGCCUUCCCCACCCCCCUCAGGUUUUUAAAUAUAAUGGGAAAUGUUUUGUUCUUUGGAGUUGUGGCAGAGUCUGCACGAUUUAACCUUGCAGACUUAUCCUGUUCAACCACAGGUCGUGUGCUGCUGUCCCAGCAGCUGGGGCUGGAUCCAUGCAGUCAGUCUGCACACGACGUGGAGGUUUGCUGAUGCUGCACAGUUGGGUGCAGGCAGUCAUCUGCAGAGCCCUCACGCCUUUGUAUCAUCCAGCCUGAUACUCAUAGCGCUGUUUUACUAAGCCCAAAGCCUUUACUGGUUACACAUGCUGUGUGUCAUUCCUUCCAUUGGCACGUGCUCCGUUCGGCAUUCUCUCAUUCACGUACGACACAGGGAAGGGAUUGUAUACUCCACUGUGAUACCACUUACAUCUCCUCCUUUGUUUCUAGGCAUGUAAUUACAUAUGGAUUUGGACCUUAACAAACCAUGGGUUGCUUUAGGUUACACUUGCUCCUGCCUCAGCCUACCUACGUGUUUUCAUUUAGAUUUUGGCAAGACCUUUGUCUGGCCAGCUGGCUUUUGUGCUCGAGACCAUCCUGUCUUUUGUCUUGAGUUACUGUGAACCCUUCCUUCUUCCCAACUGCAGCCCUUACUGCACUUGCAGUAACAGGGAUGAAUUUAUCAAAUGUUUAUGUAUUCAUACAAUUAAAACGCAGAUAUUGGUUUGUUACUUUGAUCUCUUGGCUUCCCUUACCAGAAUGUAGGCAUGUAGGCACAAAUACAGGGUGUGGAGGAUCUGUUGCAAAGGGCAAUUUUGAUCUGGCCGUAGCAGCGUGAGCCAUCUGUUGAUUGGCCUUUGUCAGCCAAAUUGUGCUACUAGUUGGCAUAGUGAAUAUGUAUGCAGCACUCUGCAGGACAAAACUCAUAAAUUCAGAUUGCCUUGCAUGAACUUAUAUAUGCAGUUCAGCUCCACAAAGAGAAAGAAAAAGAAAAAAACUGCAUACAUUGCUUAUGCAACAAAAUGUUGCUUAUUUAUAGUGGCAUUUACAAGGUGCAGGGAAAGCUGAUAUCCUCCUCAAUGAUGAGGGCUGAAAACCUAAUUAAAAUGUGUUAUAACAUCAAGUGAUGCAUUUCUGCCCCCACUGCUCCUUUUUAACACAGGUAAUUGGCUGCAGAAGCAAUCUCUGUUCUUGUAAUACAGAACAGCAAAAUGCUGUGUAAACCGUGGUAAGAGGAGUGUAAGAUAGCACUUGGUAGCAAACCCCAUUAUGGAUCUUGGGACGGUUUUGGAUGCUGUGCCAAGGCAGAAGCCACCUUCAACCAAUGUGGCAGAAGAAGGAGACAGCAGUAUUUCUUAAAGCCAAAAGCAACAGUGGCUCUGAGCAAGCCGUUGGCCACGUCACCAUGUGCAGUGAGAUUACCUUUCCUUUCACCUUGGAAUCAGCUACAGCUCUGCUCAUUUUGUCAUCUGGUGAGUUCACAUGGACAGUGAAUUUACAUGAAGCAAAAGCAAAAUGGUUUUAAGUUGAAGGAGGGAAGAUUUAGGUUGGAUGUCAGGGGGAAGUUCUUUACUAUGGGAGUGGUGAGGUGCUGGAACAGCUGCCCAGAGAGGCUGUGGAUGUCCUCCCCUGGAGGUGUUGAAGGGGCCCUGGGCAGCCUGGUGUGGUAUUAAAUGUGGAGGUUGGUGGCCCUGCCUGUGGCAGGGUGUUGGAGCUUCAUGAUCCUUGAGGUCCCUUCCAACCCAAGCUGCUCUAUGGUUCUAUGAAAUGUAGGGUGGAAGGAACAUAAUGUUCAAGGGUGUUUAUUGCUGGUAUGAGAAGGUGGAACUCUUGCUUUAAUACCUGUUAGUUGUGUUAGUGUAAUGGGAGGAGCACAAGUACAAACUACAGGAUUAUUCUUUUUAAAGGAAGCUCAGCUAUUUCAUUCGUGUUUUUAAGUGGGUCAGUGAAGGCACGGAUGUUUGAUCAGAGGUGAUGGAUGAGUUACACAGGAACACACUCUCCAGCCUUGUUUUCCAAAGCAGUGCCAGAUGUGAAUCAGAGGAACUGACCCCAGAGAUACAGUUCCUGGGGUGCUGUGUUGCUGCUGUGCCAUGAAGAAGGAAGAGAUUCACAAAGGAGUGUUUCUGAGACGCAGUGGCUGCACAGUACAAACCCAUGUGCUGGAGCUGCAGCCACGUCAUCAUCUGCUCUCCUCUGCUGGUGUUCUGAAGUCCAACACCGAUAGUUUCAGAGGACCACAGCAGGGAACACCUCCCUCCAGAAGUCCAAUGGAAGCUUAUGCCUGUGAACUUACUGAGCUGUGUGCCUGGGGAGCGGCAGAAGAUACCCACAUUCAUUGACUUCCUGCCAGCGGUGUCCUUCAGUGUCGAUUCACACACUGUGCUUUGGGCUGCCUAUGGCACUGCCAGGCGCUGUGCAGGGGCUGCCCGGUGCUGAAGGGACAGCUGUUGGUUUUCUUCCCUGCCGUCUGUUGGGGUAUAUCGGGAUUUCCUCCCAGUGCAGCAACACCAAUUCACAGAGAGCCAAUGGAAACGUGACGGUUGGGAUGUGGUUCUUCAAAAAGGAGCGUUGUGGUUUAUCGUUGUUUGUUUUCUUCAUUAACAUCCUCAAAAUGGCAACAAAUAUCCAGGAGUUGUAUUUUGUUCUGCUGAACUAAGUGCAGUUAUGCUACCUGACUUAAACUGUGUUUUCUGCUUAAAUGGCUUUACGUUCUAACUGGUCAAAUAGAGCGAACGGGCUGUUGGAUAGUGCAGCUUAUCCUUCUGCUUUGACUUAUUUGCUGCUCUUCUGCAGUACGUAGCAAACCUUACAAAUAAUUCUGCAACUGUCCAACAUCAAAUUUCUACAGACAAAUGUUGGUGUGCAGCCCUUGCCUUUUGGUAUGUAAGCUUGGGCAGGGUCACUAAGGAGUACCUACAAUCCCAACGCAGGCAGACCUGUUAAAAGGCAAAAACUGCUAUGAUUCCUUCUGCCUCUGUCAAAACCAGAGCUCCACGUUACACAAAUGCAAGUGACAAAAGCAUGGGGAGAAAUACAGAGUGCAGUUCUGUGCUCUGGUGCAGAUGGAAGUGGUUACAGUUUGCAAGUCACACUGACUGGUGUGAAGCUCGAGUAAUACUCCACCAUUGGAUUAAUCCUAUUUGUUCUAGCAUAAUGGUUGUAAAAAUCAGAUUUAGACAAGAGUACAAGUAAUGCGAGAUUAGCAGGCUUCUCACUCAGCACGGGAAGGACAAGCUGUUGGCACUGAGUACACAGAGAGCAGCAGCACCCCUGCAGUCUCCAGCAGACACGUGCUUCUGCAGAGGGGCGCACUGAGCUUCCCUUGGCUGUGCUGGGGCUCCCAGCUCUGCAAUGGGAACCCAGCACCUCCCUGUGGAUGAGAAUCCAGAGCUGGACAGCCAUGAACAAUGGUCAAACUAAUGUUAGAACAGGUGUUUCUACUUCCUUGUGUGACACAAACUGUAAAUUCAGUCCAGGAUUUCACUGUAAGCCCCUCCUGCCCACCCCCCUACCCCUCCCCCAAAAAACCACAACAACAGAAAAGAUACGUUUCCAAAUCAUUUAUUUCCUGAAGUAUCAGACUACCCAUCCCCAUCAUUUUACACAACACAAGAUAAGGAUACGAACAAAGUGAAUUUAUUUACAAAGCUAUUUGACAACUGCACUAUGCUAUACUAAUACAUUUUAGCGUUAACUAACUCUCUAUGCUAUCUACUCCGUUGUUUGCUGGCUCAGUCUCUGCAUUCAGUCUCUGCAUGGCAGUUCACACGGGCGCAGUCAUCUGGGCUCUCCUCUUCCGUCUGUUUCCUCCGUGGCUGUUCCGGAGCAGCUGAGCAUCGUCUCCUUGAAGGUCGGAUGACAGGAGAAGGCUGAGCAAAACAAAUGCAAAAGAGAAGAGUUGGUUGCCACCAGGUCAACAGAGACAAUCACAAAGAGAAGGGAAGAAAGACUUUGAACUGCAAAAGAGAAAGCUGUGUAUGAACAGGUCUGUCGUUUGGUUCCGACCUCCAACUCCGGCUAAAGCAUUUUGAAACUGUCAGAGCCCCACUGGUGGUUACACCCAGGAAGCGGCCUGUGCAAGAAACGCAGAUGCAGAACAUUUCCCGUCAUCUUCAGCUCCUCCACUGCCCUGCCUUAUCUCAUGGGCACACCCCUCCCAGCCAGGAACGUUCUGUGUGCUGGGCCACGAGCACAGACACUGACAUACCUCCCUCGGCGCAGAAGGCGCGUCCUCUUCUCCCCGACGAUCUCCCAGCAGGUCACGCUUCCAAGAGCCGCUGUUCUUCUGCCGGCGCUGGGGCAGCACCGGGCGCUGAUCCUGCUUCCUCCUGGAGGAGGGGGUCAAGUGAACUGCAAGGACUCCUCUGCAGCAAAGACAAAAGAAGGUUCUGUUACUGCUAGCCACCAUCUAUCAACUCCCUUGCAGUUCACGUACUGUCAAGACAAGAACUGCCUUGCCGUCCGCUAUUUCCCUAUCCACUGCCAUCAGCCCCCCACAGCCCCAGGGCUGCCCUCCCCCUGCCCCUCGCACAGCCCGCACUGGGCUGCCAGCCCAUCACCUGCAGCUGCCCUGGUGGGGCCGCAGC